rnacentral:rRNA from 1 species
UACGUAGGGGGCAAGCGUUGUCCGGAUUUAUUGGGCGUAAAGAGCUCGUAGGUGGUUCGGUAAGUCGGAUGUGAAAUCUCCAGGCUCAACCUGGAGGGGUCAUUCGAUACUGCCGUGACUAGAGUUCGGAAGAGGCGAGUGGAAUUCCCGGUGUAGCGGUGAAAUGCGCAGAUAUCGGGAGGAACACCUAUGGCGAAGGCAGCUCGCUGGGACGUUACUGACGCUGAGACGCGAAAGCGUGGGGAGCAAACAGG